UCAAAGCAUUGUACAUGACAACAUCCUUUCCUUUACAUCUGCCCUUUGCUUGAUGUUUGCCAGCUAUUAUUGCUUCAACAUCCAUUACCCAUCAGACUUGGCAUCAACCCUGGAGUUUCUGCAGAGGUGUUUUUUCUCCAUCAACCCAGAGAAGGGCACUAAAGUAGAGAAGACGUGUACCUCCCGACUUCAUGUGAACCCCAGAGUCCUCACCUUGAUUCAGGAGCUUUCAGAUUAUGAGUGGCGUGAUGUUUAGAUAUGGACUAAGAUCAGUAAGUUUUGUUCAAAUGUGAACAAAGGCAUUUGUAAGGUUUGUAAAAUGUUUUAAGCAAAGUUGUUCAAAUAUAUGUUUGCAGUUCUUACACUGCAUACAAAUUGUGUUUGUUUCACUGCAAGAGUUGUGUUCUCUUAUAUUUCCUCAUUUGCAUGACUGCACCUCAACAUGGUAUUGGUAUAUUGUUCAAUUAUUUCCCUUAGGAAGAAAGGAUGUAAUUGUUAUAGGGCAUGAAAAAAUUCUGAAAGAUCUUAAAGUGAGAAGAUUUUUUGGUAGAGUUGUAUACGUUUUGAUGUAAGGUAACGUUCUAUCUGUUAAUUUUGGAAACUGAUUACUACCUGCUGUUCCUAAUUUCUUUGAUCACCCUUUUAUUAUAUUAAUGUUCACACUAGUCUGUUGCUGCAGUAUGGUGUGUUAACACAUUCAAGCCCCAUAGUUAGACAAUGCAAAACUCAACCAGUCAUGGCAGCAGUAGAUGGCUGCUAGUGUGAUCAAUGUUGGUUAACAUUAUGUAUAAGCAAUUAUUAAGACUAAUUAGAUCAACAAGGUAUGGGUCAUUAUGUUUUUCUGUCAUGCUCACGUAGUCUAUUUUAAUACAGCCCAAUUCUUUUUGAAGUUCGACUCAUUUACUUAUUUUAUCAUUUGAAUCUUAGACUAUUACAUACAAAAAAUAGGCUCACUACAAUUUGACCAAUAAUGUAAUCAGAGAUGCCAAGCUGCUGCUUUGAAUUUGACAAAAUU